AUUGAUAGACCAAAAGAAUUGUGCAAUGACCUUGGAUAUUCAAGAGAUCUUGGACUCUCCUAUUCAUGAUGUUGCCUCUCCAUGGCUGACUACUACUCUCAACCCGUUUAUUUAUGUAUGUAGAUCAUCAGCCACUUGACUCAUUGAGUAAAUUUAACUAACGAAGGCCCUCAACUAAUACAUGUGUCAUUAGUUGUUGCCUGGUGCAUGAAUUGUCUUGUGGCUUAGGCUAGGUGAGCCAAGUCAAAAUCAAAUUGUUAUACUUGGAUUGUUACACUCUUACAUAGAAAGAGUUGAGCUUUGAUUAUUAGCUAUAACUUUUGGCUUAGUGGUAAGUGCCUAAUCCAACAAUUAGUGUCAAAGCCAAAGUCAGGAGUUUGAUUUGCGGUAGGGUAGUUGUUGAAGGGGAGAUUGUUGGCAAAUUACAUAAAUUGUCUUACGGUGUAAGUCCAAGUGGUCCAAGUCAUAAUCAAAGUGUAGUACUUUGGUUGUUAUGUUCUUAAGUAGAAAGAGUUGCACCCUGACUACCAAAUAUAGUUUUCGGUCUAGUGUUAAGUGCUUGAUUCAAAAGUAGUAACCCACUAAAACACUCGGGGAACACAACCUCUAGGUUAACAAACUAAUUCAGCAGCCCACAGUUACAUUUUAGAACUUUCAAUUGCUAUUUAUGUUUUGAAGUUUUUAAUCCUUUAGCUUUCAUGAAAAUUUUCUUUCCGAUUUGCAU
rnacentral:sRNA from 1 species